rnacentral:rRNA from 1 species
GAACUGCGAACGGCUCAUUACACCAGCCUUAAUUUACUUGACCUUGACACCCUACUUGGAUAACUGUGGUAAUUCUAGAGCUAAUACAUGCACCAAAGCUCCAAUCUCCCCAGAGCGGAGCGCAUUUGUUCGCCACAAAACCAAGCGCCUCAGGGCGUUCAGUGUUGACUCAGAACAACUAAGCUGAUCGCACGGUCUUGCACCGGCGACGUGUCUUUCAAGUGUCUGCCUUAUCAACUUUCGAUGGUAGUGUAUCUGACUACCAUGGUGAUGACGGGUAACGGAGGAUAAGGGUUCGACUCCGGAGAAGGGGCCUGAGAAAUGGCCACUACGUCUAAGGAUGGCAGCAGGCGCGCAAAUUACCCACUCUCGACGCGAGGAGGUAGUGACGAGAAAUAACGAGACCGUUCUCAUCUGAGGCCGGUCAUCGGAAUGGGUACAAUUUAAACCCUUUAACGAGUAUCUAUGAGAGGGCAAGUCUGGUGCCAGCAGCCGCGGUAAUUCCAGCUCUCAAAAUGCAUAGAAUUAUUGCUGCGGUUAAAAAGCUCGUAGUUGGAUCUGUGCUGAGCGACCGGUCUGCCCACUGGGCACGCACUGGCUCGCCCGGCUUUCCCUGCCGGUCUCUCUCUGACGUUGGUUUUAACCGGCUGGCGUCAGUGGGCUGGCGAGUUUACUUUGAACAAAUCAGAGUGCUUCAAACAGGCGUCUCGCCUGAAUGUUCGUGCAUGGAAUAAUAGAAGAGGAUCACGGUCCGAUUUUAUUGGUUUUGCUGACCGAGAUAAUGGUUAACAGAGACAAACGGGGCCAUUCGUAUUGCUACGUGAGAGGUGAAAUUCUUGGACCGUAGCAAGACGGACUACAGCGAAAGCAUUUGGCAAGAAUGUCUUCAUUAAUCAAGAACGAAAGUCAGAGGUUCGAAGGCGAUCAGAUACCGCCCUAGUUCUGACCGUAAACGAUGCCAACUAGCGAUCCGCCGGCGGAUUCAUUCGCCCUGGUGGGGAGCUUCCCGGAAACGAAAGUCUUCCGGUUCCGGGGGAAGUAUGGUUGCAAAGCUGAAACUUAAAGGAAUUGACGGAAGGGCACCACCAGGAGUGGAGCCUGCGGCUUAAUUUGACUCAACACGGGGAAACUCACCCGGCCCGGACACCGUAAGGAUUGACAGAUUGAUAGCUUUUUCAUGAUUCGGUGGAUGGUGGUGCAUGGCCGUUCUUAGUUCGUGGAGCGAUUUGUCUGGUUUAUUCCGAUAACGAGCGAGACUCUGGCCCACUAAAUAGUUGGCGCAUUGCCACUGUGUGCACAACUUCUUAGAGGGAUUUUCGGUGUUCAGCCGCACGAAAUUGAGCAAUAACAGGUCUGUGAUGCCCUUAGAUGUCCGGGGCUGCACGCGCGCUACACUGGCAAAAUCAGCGUGCUUGUCCUCCCCCGAAAGGGGUUGGUAAACCGAUGAAAAUUUGCCGUGAUUGGGAUCGGACAUUGCAAUUAUUGUCCGUGAGCGAGGAAUCCCUUGUAAGGGCGAGUCAUCAACUCGUCCUGAAUACGUCCCUGCCCUUUGUACACACCGCCCGUCGCUGCCCGGGACUGAGCCAUUUCGAGAAAACCGGGGAUUGUUGGCCUGACGGCUCUCGGGUCGUCUAGCCGAUGAGAACCGGCUUAAUCGCACUGGUUUGAACCGGGCAAAAGUCGUAACAAGGUAGCUGUAGGUGAACCUGCAGAUGAUCA